GGUCCAUACAGGACACUUGACGCUUCCAUGCAACAAGGUGGCCCGAUGAAGCCGCCACGUGGCCCGAUUAUGCCGCCACGUGGCCCUGUCAAGCCACCACGUGGCCCGGUCAAGCCACCACCUGGCCCGAUGAAGCCACCACGUGGCCCGGUCAAGCCACCACCUGGAAAGAAGCCACCUCCCGGGUCACAGUAAUGCUUACAAGUGGAAUUGUGAAAUCCCUUGAGAAUGGAACACUACGGAUUAGAAGCCAGUAAAGUGUCGACCGACAGCUAGUAGUAUCUUUAUU
rnacentral:lncRNA from 1 species